GUCUGUGGAAGUCAACCGAAUACAUGUAAUUGCCCACUUGGAUAUGACCCCAAAACCAACUGCGAGCAGUCAAGGUGUAAUCCUGAUUGUGGCGUUGGCGGAAUUUGUGCAUUAAACGGCGCUGAGAGUAGACUAAUGUGCUUGUGCAAGCAGGGAUACUUCGGUGCCGCUUGCGACCAAGUAAAUCCGUGUGAGAUGGACUUAGACGAAGGUGCAAGCUCGUACUUUCUAGCCGAAACUUUUACAUUGAGUGACAGUAAUAGUCUCGGCUGGAAGACAGAUCCUGCAACCCAAAGAGCCUGUUUGAAAUACCUUGAGGAAGUCAAUAAUCAGUGCCCUUCAUUAAAGACAUCAUUCAACCAAACUGAAUGCGAGAAAU